rnacentral:rRNA from 1 species
ACGCUCGACACCUACGGGAGACAGCAGUGGGGAAUAUUGCACAAUGGAGGAAACUCUGAUGCAGCGAUGCCGCGUGAGGGAAGAAGGUUUUCGGAUUGUAAACCUCUGUCUUUGGGGACGAUAAUGACGGUACCCAAGGAGGAAGCUCCGGCUAACUACGUGCCAACAGCCGAGGUAAUCUGAGGCGGGCUGGCGAAGGC